CCUACGGGUGGCUGCAGUGAGGAAUAUUGGUCAAUGGGCGCUAGCCUGAACCAACCAAGCAGCGUGAAGGAUGACUGCCCUAUGGGUUGUAAACUUCUUUUAUACGGGGAUAAAGUGCAGUAUGUAUACCGCGUUGAAAGUACCUUAUGAAUAAGGAUCGGCUAACUCCGUGCCAGCAGCCGCGGUAAUACGGAGGAUUCGAGCGUUAUCCGGAUUUAUUGGGUUUAAAGGGAGCGUAGGCGGGUUGAUAAGUCAGUUGUGAAAGUUUGCGGCUCAACCGUAACAUUGCAGUUGAUACUGGCGUCCUUGAGUGCAGUAGAGGUAGGCGGAAUGCGUGGUGUAGCGGUGAAAUGCUUAGAUAUCACGAAGAACUCCGAUUGCGAAGGCAGCCUACUGGACUGUAACUGACGCUGAGGCUCGAAAGUGUGGGUAGCAAACAGGAUUAGAUACCCCUGUAGUC
rnacentral:rRNA from 1 species